CCCGAAGGUUUUUCACGGUGUGGCUACCAAAGAAAUUGUUGCGUUCAGGCUCGUACUUGGAGGAGUGGAAGCUUUCAGUGGAGCUGCUCACCUGCCGUGCCCGGCCCUUAGGCCUGCGACACGCUGCUUGUUCCCCCAUCCUUUCCUCAGAGUUUGGGAAAAAGAGGUGGUACGGGCACAGUUACCUGCCCUGUAUUCUGCCUGGGCACAGCAUGGGAGAAAGUCUGCUUACAGACUCAUUCAAGCCUUGUCGAGGUCGGACUUCAUGGGAACAGUUUGUGGUUUUGCCUCCUUGGCGUGUGAGGAGAAGUUACACAGCUGUUGUUACACUACUGUAAGCAGCUCUGGAUUACACAAUCAUCCACACUUCUGAGAUUUCUCAUCUGAUGAAAAUGUAUUGUGUAAUCGCAGUAGGCAAAACUAAAGGGUGAUUUGCUUCAGGCGCCUGCCAUCAUCGGGAAAGAUCCCAUGACUUCGAGCCCACUGUGAAUCUGCUGUGGAUGAGGUGAGCUGUGGCAAUGGCCACACACAUGCUUGCCCACAGAGGUCUGAAACUUUUCACUCCAUUUCCUCGCCACCACAGCUCAGCUAAAUACUGCCACUGCUGCCACAUAAGAUGUUCUCAGAGAAACUUUGAUUUCAGCCCGGUGUCUCCAAGAGCAUGCAUAUAUGAAGGUAUGUACAUGACCAAUUUUACAUUUACACCGUCUUUCUUGGGUGAUUUAUAAAGACAGUGAAUCCUCCAUCUAUAUGAAACACAGAAAAGCAGGCUAAUAUUU